rnacentral:rRNA from 1 species
CAGCCGCCGCGGUAAUACAGAGGGUGCGAGCGUUAAUCGGAUUUACUGGGCGUAAAGCGUGCGUAGGCGGCUUCUUAAGUCGGAUGUGAAAUCCCUGAGCUUAACUUAGGAAUUGCAUUCGAUACUGGGAAGAUAGAGUAUGGGAGAGGAUGGUAGAAUUCCAGGUGUAGCGGUGAAAUGCGUAGAGAUCUGGAGGAAUACCGAUGGCGAAGGCAGCCAUCUGGCCUAAUACUGACGCUGAGGUACGAAAGCAUGGGGAGCAAACAGGAUUAGAUACCCGCGUAGUCCCUGUCUCUUAUAC